AAAUCGACAUGUGACUCUUGGUUAGUAUUUAGGGGUGUUACAAUUCUCUCCCCCUUAAAGAAAUUUCGUCUCGAAAUUUACCUUACGCUAGUCCCGGAACAAGUGCGGAUACUGGGUCCUCAUGUCUUCUUCUCUCUCCCAGGUAGCUUCUUUUCCAGAGUGGUUCCUCCAAAGUACCUUUACUAAGGGGAUUCUCUUGUUUCUAAGUUGCUUCACUUCCUGAGCUUGAAUUAAAAUAGGUUCUUCAUCAUACGUCAAGUCAGGAUUAACC
rnacentral:lncRNA from 1 species